CGUUCACUUCCUGCACAUGGAGAGUUCCCACAACAUCGUGAUCACAUAUUAGUUACGCUCUACCAGCACAGCGGCAACAACAAAAAGUCUCCCACUCCUUCACACUCCUCCCUCUGUGUAAUGAAAGUCGUACACAUUUUCCAGUCACCAGCCAAAGUUAACAGUUAAUCAGUAAUAAACGUGUAAGUCACCUUCUCCAAAGCUUUGGUCCGCUCUUCACUCUUCUGCAGCAAGAUCUUGGUGUGACUUGUUGCUUUAUCUAAUAUGGCCUUUCAGGAUUCUCAGAGCUUCAUGUUUGCCUUCAAGAUGUCGAUGUGUCACUUCCAGUUCUGUCCUCAACAGCUCCACUUCCUACAGAGCAGAACACAAUGACAAUGAAAUAUACAGUCUAUUAAAGAUGGCACUAUGGCUGUUUUCACGUGAUUUGGACCGACCUGAGUCUCUGAUCCUCCACUGAGAGAUCCGCUCUGCAUCCAGCUCUUUUCUGAAAGCGGUGUACAUGGCACUGCAUGAUGUCCA